rnacentral:rRNA from 1 species
AUUGAACGCUGGCGGCAUGCCUUACACAUGCAAGUCGAACGGCAGCAUGAUCUAGCUUGCUAGAUUGAUGGCGAGUGGCGAACGGGUGAGUAAUACAUCGGAACGUGCCCUGUAGUGGGGGAUAACUAGUCGAAAGAUUAGCUAAUACCGCAUACGACCUGAGGGUGAAAGUGGGGGACCGCAAGGCCUCAUGCUAUAGGAUCGGCCGAUGUCUGAUUAGCUAGUUGGUGAGGUAAAGGCUCACCAAGGCGACGAUCAGUAGCUGGUCUGAGAGGACGAUCAGCCACACUGGAACUGAGACACGGCCCAGACUCCUACGGGAGGCAGCAGUGGGGAAUUUUGGGCAAUGGGCGAAAGCCUGAUCCAGCAAUGCCGCGUGUGUGAAGAAGGCCUUCGGGUUGUAAAGCACUUUUGUCCGGAAAGAAAUGACUCUGGUUAAUACCUGGGGUCGAUGACGGUACCGGAAGAAUAAGGACCGGCUAACUACGUG